AUUGAACGCUGGCGGCAUGCCUUACACAUGCAAGUCGAGCGGCAGCGCGGGGGCAACCCUGGCGGCGAGCGGCGGACGGGUGAGUAAUACAUCGGAACGUGUCCUUUCGUGGGGGAUAACCAGUCGAAAGACUGGCUAAUACCGCAUGAGAUCUCACGAUGAAAGCGGGGGACCGCAAGGCCUCGCGCGAUUGGAGCGGCCGAUGGCGGAUUAGCUAGUUGGCGGGGUAAAGGCCCACCAAGGCGACGAUCCGUAGCUGGUUUGAGAGAACGACCAGCCACACUGGGACUGAGACACGGCCCAGACUCCUACGGGAGGCAGCAGUGGGGAAUUUUGGACAAUGGGCGCAAGCCUGAUCCAGCCAUGCCGCGUGUGUGAAGAAGGCCUUCGGGUUGUAAAGCACUUUCGGCCGGAACGAAAUCGCGCGGGCGAACAUCCCGCGUGGAUGACGGUACCGGAAGAAGAAGCACCGGCUAACUACGUGCCAGCCGCCGCAGUAACAC
rnacentral:rRNA from 1 species